CAGAGAAUAGUUUAUUUAAAAUAUUAAUUUUGGAGAUUAAUGAAAGGAUGUUUUUCUUUUCUCUGA
rnacentral:tRNA from 1 species